rnacentral:rRNA from 1 species
UACCGAGGGUGCAAGCGUUAAUCGGAAUUACUGGGCGUAAAGCGCGCGUAGGUGGUUUGGUAAGUCGGAUGUGAAAUCCCCGGGCCCAACCUGGGAACUGCGCUUGAAACUGCCGGUCUUGAGUAUCGGAGAGGGUGGCGGAAUUCCUGGUGUAGAGGUGAAAUUCGUAGAUAGCAGGAGGAACACCGGUGGCGAAGGCGGCCACCUGGACGAUUACUGACGCUGAGACGCGAAAGCGUGGGGAGCAAACAGG